rnacentral:rRNA from 1 species
UACGGAGGGUGCAAGCGUUUGUCCGGAUUUAUUGGGUUUAAAGGGUGCGUAGGCGGCCCUGUAAGUCAGUGGUGAAAUACUGCAGCUUAACUGUAGCAUUGCCAUUGAUACUGCAGGGCUUGAGUACAGAUGAGGUAGGCGGAAUUGAUGGUGUAGCGGUGAAAUGCAUAGAUACCAUCAAGAACACCGAUUGCGAAGGCAGCUUACUAGCUGUAACUGACGCUGAGGCACGAAAGCGUGGGGGAUCGAACAGG